CUCCGGUUGAUCCCGCCGGACCCGACUGCUAUCGGAUUGAGAUUUAGCCAUGCGAGUCGAACGUCCCCCUGUUGCGGGGGGCGUGGCGUACGGCUCAGUAACACGUAGUCAACCUGCCCUGGAGACAAGGACAACCCCGGGAAACUGGGAUUAAUCCUUGAUAGGUCAUCUCAUCUGGAAGGAGAGAUGGCUUAAAGGGGUACGCGGGCUUCUUCCGCGAAUUCGCUCCAGGAUGGGACUGCGUCCGAUCAGGCUGUUGGCGGGGUAAUGGCCCACCAAACCUGUAACCGGUACGGGCCUUGAGAGAGGUGGCCCGGAGAUGGACACUGAGAGAAGGGUCCAGGUCCUACGGGGCGCAGCAGGCGCGAAACCUUCGCAAUGCGCGAAAGCGUGACGAGGUUAAUCCGAGUGAUUUCCGCUGAGGAGAUCUUUUGUCAGCUGUAAAUAGGCAGGCGAAUAAGGGGAGGGCAAGCCUGGUGUCAGCCGCCGCGGUAAUACCAGCUCCUCGAGUGGUCGGGGCGAUUAUUGGGCCUAAAGCAUCCGUAGCCGGUUCCGUAGGUCCUCUGUUAAAUCCAACCGCUUAACGGUUGACCUGCAGAGGAUACCGCGGGACUAGGAGGCGGGAGAGGCGGACGGUAUUCCGCGUGUAGGGGUAAAAUCCUUUGAUCCGCGGAGGACCACCAGUGGCGAAGGCGGUCCGCCAGAACGCGCUCGACGGUGAGGGAUGGAAGCUGGGGGAGCGAACCGGAUUAGAUACCCGGGUAGUCCCAGCCGUAAACGAUGCGAGCUAGAUGAUCCAGUCGCAAAUCGCGACUGGAGUGUCGCAGGGAAGCCGUUAAGCUCGCCGCCUGGGGAGUACGGUCGCAAGACUGAAACUUAAAGGAAUUGGCGGGGGAGCA
rnacentral:rRNA from 1 species